GCUAAACGUCAAACUCUCUUCCGCGCACAGGUAAAUCUUCUGUCACCGCACGCAUCAAUUCACAUUGAUAAACAAAAAAAAUAAUAAUAAUAAUAACAAGAAGAGCAAAGAAUUUUUUUAACAAAAUACAGUCUGUAAUUAGAUUAAGAUAGUCAGAGAGAGAGAGAGAGAGAGAGAGAGAGACCCCGAGGGAAAGAGUUUGAUCAGAGUCUUGGCUUUUGGAUUCUGACUCUUCUUCUCUUUGACGUUUAUUGCCCGAAAAUGAUACUGAGGUGUUUUCCACUGCCCGAUUCAAAUGGAACGAGAAACCCUAGUUUCACUUGCACGCAGAGCUGAGAAGCCCCUGGUUUCUUCCUUCCCUUUCUAAUGCCUGAUUGUUUCCCAUCCUCAUUUCCCCAUACCGCCACGCUAGAGAGAGAGAGAGACGCGCUUCGCGAGUCUGUUAUGACCCGGUAUUGUACAAGACCGGCGUGGCUGGGACAAGGGGGCAAAGUGCAAA
rnacentral:lncRNA from 1 species